rnacentral:rRNA from 1 species
CACGUAGGGCGCAAGCGUUGUCCGGAAUUAUUGGGCGUAAAGAGCUCGUAGGCGGUUUGUCGCGUCUGCUGUGAAAACUCGGGGCUUAACUCCGGGCCUGCAGUGGGUACGGGCAGACUAGAGUGCGGUAGGGGAGACUGGAAUUCCUGGUGUAGCGGUGAAAUGCGCAGAUAUCAGGAGGAACACCGGUGGCGAAGGCGGGUCUCUGGGCCGUAACUGACGCUGAGGAGCGAAGGUCAGGGGAGCAAACGGG